UUCAUUUCCUAUCAAACAACACUGUUGCAUACUAAUGGCUCCGAUUCACAGGCUACAUGCUCAACACGAGUAGGAAAAUUGUUCAGCAGACCAAUACUAUAGUUUUCUAAAUUAUGACAUGGAAAAACUCCAGCGGAUUUGUCCUCAAUAUUUCAAGAGUUUCCAGACUCUUGUUGGAGAUGAAAACGGUGCUGGCACCAUAUGGCUCGCGACAUUGGCUAUGGGGCCUUCUCAUGAGGAAAUGGUGAAGGUGAAGCAUAAGGUUGUAGCCGUGGAUGAUGAAAGUAGGACUCUUAAUGUCAGUAUGAUCGACAGAGAUCUCUUGCGUAAGUAUCCAAGAUAGAGCAGACAUUCAUUCACUGCAACUCCAAUAGUUACACAAGGACAUGAGCAAAGCUGCUUAGUGAAAUUGUCCGUGGAGUAUGAGAAAGAAAAUGAAAAUGUACCUCAUCCCCAUGAGUAUAUGGAGUGUGCAGCUAUCAUGAACGUUGCAAAGAAUGCAUAAUUUAUACUGGUAAUACACAAGCUGGCUAUCUGUAAUAAUGAUGCAUAAAUAAAACUCUUGGAUCGAUCGGAUCCAUUAAAUAA